GUUGUUGGGGUAACGGCCCAACAAGCCUGUAAUCGGUACGGGUUGUGGGAGCAAGAGCCCGGAGAUGGAUUCUGAGACACGAAUCCAGGCCCUACGGGGCGCAGCAGGCGCGAAAACUUUACAAUGCGGGAAACCGUGAUAAGGGAACUCCGAGUGCCCGUAAAAUCGGGCUGUCCAUCUGUUUAAAUAACAGGUGAAGAAAGGGCCGGGCAAGACCGGUGCCAGCCGCCGCGGUAAUACCGGCGGCUCGAGUGGUGGCCACUAUUACUGGGCUUAAAGCGUUCGUAGCUGGUCUGUUAAGUCUCUGGGGAAAUCUACUGGCUUAACCAAUAGGCGUCUCAGGGAUACUGGCAGACUAGGGACCGGGAGAGGUGAGAGGUACUCCAGGGGUAGGAGUGAAAUCCUGUAAUCCUUGGGGGACCACCUGUGGCGAAGGCGUCUCACCAGAACGGCUCCGACAGUGAGGGACGAAAGCUGGGGGAGCAAACCGGAUUAGAUACCCGGGUAGUCCCAGCUGUAAACGAUGCGCGUUAGGUGUAUCGGUGACCACGAGUCACCGAGGUGCCGAAGAGAAAUCGUGAAACGUGCCGCCUGGGAAGUACGGUCGCAAGGCUGAAACUUAAAGGAAUUGGCGGGGGAGCACCACAACGGGUGGAGCCUGCGGUUUAAUCGGACUCAACGCCGGGAAACUCACCAGAUAAGACAGCUGAAUGAUAGUCGGGCUGAAGACUCUACUUGACUAGCUGAGAGGAGGUGCAUGGCCGUCGUCAGUUCGUACUGUGAAGCAUCCUGUUAAGUCAGGCAACGAGCGAGACCCACGCCAACAGUUGCCAGCUCGUCCUCCGGGAUGGUGGGGACACUGUUGGGACCGCCUCUGCUAAAGAGGAGGAAGGAAUGGGCAACGGUAGGUCAGCAUGCCCCGAAUUAUCCGGGCUACACGCGGGCUACAAUGGGUGGGACAAUGGGUAUCGACACCGAAAGGUGAAGGCAAUCUCCUAAACCCAUCCUUAGUUCGGAUUGUGGGCUGCAACUCGCCCACAUGAAGCUGGAAUC
rnacentral:rRNA from 1 species